rnacentral:misc_RNA from 1 species
ACCAUGUCAGUUUGAAGUUUUAAAGGAAUAAUGAUCAAAUGAACACUUCUAGAAUGGUCUUGGCCCAACCAUAUGAAAGAUACAUCUGCAAGAUUACAGAUAACAACGAAUAAUUUCCAAAUCCUAUCACAAAAUCUUGAAAAGUAAUUUCUUGUCCAAUGUUACCCAUUCAAUAGAGCAAGGCCGGUAUUAAUUUCAUUCAUUCCUUAUUGAUUCAUAUUUUCAUCUACAUAUUCAAGAAUAAACUUUUCUUA